rnacentral:rRNA from 1 species
GUGCCAGCAGCCGCGGUAAUACCGGCAGCUCGAGUGAUGGCCACUCUUAUUGGGCCUAAAGCGUCCGUAGCUGGCCGCGCAAGUCCGUCGGGAAAUCCAUCAGCCCAACUGAUGGGCGUCCGGCGGAAACUGCACGGCUUGGGACCGGAAGGCUCGAGAGGUACGUCCGGGGUAGGAGUGAAAUCCCGUAAUCCCGAACGGACCACCGAUGGCGAAAGCACCUCGAGAAGACGGCUCCGACGGUGAGGGACGAAAGCCAGGGUCUCGAACCGGAUUAGAAACCCCUGUAGUCC